AUUGAACGCUGGCGGCAUGCCUAACACAUGCAAGUCGAGCGAGCGGCGCACGGGUGAGUAAUGUAUGGGAACUUGCCCGAUAGGGGGGGAUAACUAUUGGAAACGGUGGCUAAUCCCGCAUACUAUUCGAUCGACCGAUAUUGGAUUAGCUAGUUGGUGGGGUAAAGGCUCACCAAGCGACGAUCUCUAGCUGGUCUGAGAGGAUGAUCCGCCACACUGGGACUGAGACACGGCCCAGACUCCUACGGGAGGCAGCAGUGGGGAAUAUUGGGCAAUGGGGGCAAUCCUGACGCAGCCAUGCCGCGUGAGUGAAGAAGGCCUUCGGGUUGUAAAGUUCUUUUGUUAGGGAAGCGGUAACUAAAGAAGAAGCACCGGCUAACUCCGUGCCAGCAGCCGCGGUAAUAC
rnacentral:rRNA from 1 species